AUUGAACGCUGGCGGCAGGCCUAACACAUGCAAGUCGAGCGGAUGAAGGGAGCUUGCUCCUGGAUUCAGCGGCGGACGGGUGAGUAAUGCCUAGGAAUCUGCCUGGUAGUGGGGGAUAACGUCCGGAAACGGGCGCUAAUACCGCAUACGUCCUGAGGGAGAAAGUGGGGGAUCUUCGGACCUCACGCUAUCAGAUGAGCCUAGGUCGGAUUAACUAGUUGGUGGGGUAAAGGCCUACCAAGGCGACGAUCCGUAACUGGUCUGAGAGGAUGAUCAGUCAAACGGGAAGUGAGAACCGGCCCAACUCCCUAGGGGGGGCAAGAGGGGGAAAUAUUGGAAAGUGGGGGAAAGCCUGACCCACCAAAGCCGCGGGUGGAAAGAAGGGCUUGGGAUGGUAAAGCACUUUAGGUUGGGGGGAAGGGAAGUAAGUUAAUACCUUGCUGUUUUAACGUUACCAACAAAAAAAGCACCGCUUAACUUCGU
rnacentral:rRNA from 1 species